UUUGUUUUCGAGUUUGACUCGGUUUUUGCCUUCUCUUCGGCAUUUUAACAUUUGUUUCGAGUUGCACAAGUGGCAAGAAUCAUGCUGGCUAGUGAAGACAGGGAACAACGAAUAUUUAAACCUCAAGAAAUUUCGUAAAGACGUUAUUUGUAAAGGUAAAAAUAUACUGUUUAUAUGUUCAAUAUUUAUUUGUGAUAAAGUAGGUCAAAACAAAGCGAAAUAAACAGCCUAUUUGUACUGUGUAGUGGACAAUUUUAGCAACUGAUGUAUACAAUUAAGUUGCCAGAACUAUAUUAAUACGAGAAACAGUCUUUCUCGAAAGCAAAUGGUUGAAAUUUCAGAUUUUAGUGUCAUUUGUUAUUUCAAAUUUUACGAUAUAAAAUGCCAUUUUUGACCACCAUCUGCUUCAUGAUACUACUUAGUAAAUUUAAAGUGCUUUCUAUUAUAUUAGUAUACCUAUAGAGGAAGACCUUUUUAAGCCAGAACUAUCAUGACUUUGAAUUUAUAUUUAAUCCAUGUACUUAACUGGCCACUGAUGGCAAUGAAAUUAUAAUGUGUAGAAUUAUCAAGUCUAUCAAGAUCCAAAAAUUGGCUGUUAAAUUCUACCAACUUCUGUUGAAGCUAGUUUCAUAUAUAAGAUCAGGUUUAGAGGCCUGAAGCAUUUUCCCUAGAAAUUGCAUAAGUAAAAUCAAUUUCAUAAUUAACCCAUUGAGCCGCAAUGCGCCCUACUUAUUUUUUACUUGUAAUGCCAGACGAUAUUAUACUCGUCAAUGGGUCAUUCCAGAAAACAUCUAUACCACCCCCACGGAGGAAAUAGGAAGUUAACCCCCCUACCCCCUUCGGAUGUCCUAAAUAAUUAAAUAGUACAUUUACUAUUAUCAGAAACAAUUUUUUCUCCCCUCCCUCUCCGGACGGUAGAAAUUUCAUCAGUGGGGAGAGUAUGGAUCUUUUCUGGAACGACCCAUUGGGGAAGCUCUGCAGCUUAAUGGGGUUAAGAAAAUGAAACAUUCUUGAUGAUAUUUGAUGUUGGUAAUUCAUGCAUUUUUGGAGGAAAAUAUUUUACAGUGGUUUUCACCUGACACCGAACCCCAAUAUUUACAUGCUAUUUGUCUGAACUAUUUUCCUCAUUCUUUCAACAUGCCAAAGUGAUACAAAAUAAAUUUCAGUUGAAUUCAAACAAGUCCUCAGGCCCUGAGUUGUCAAGACUAUCACCUUAAUUGUUAGCAGCAUGUAUCUGCUAAGCCCUGGGUUCAAAUGAGUGGAAUUUCAAGAGCAUUUUGACCAGCUUUGUGCACACAGGUGGCCUUACCGGUCAGGAUGAGGGCCAGUUAAGGUUACAGUUGGGUGUCGGCAAGGUUCAUGUAAACUUAUUGUUAGCAAGAAUGUUAUGUGUACACAAUCAUGUGUAAUGUCGUAUUGGAUUAAUAGCAGUUAAAUGUUGGGAUCCAGUAUCGAACAAUAACCACAACAAUUAUUAUAUAAAGUAUUUGGUUGUUUUAGUGUAAUAUUCAUUUCUCACAUAUUUUUUUCAGAAAUAAAGUACCAUUCAGCAACUUGUUGGGAAAGAGGAGUCACAAACUGUUGAUGAAUAUAUUUAAUUAACUACAUCCACAUAAAAUACAAUUUUAUUAACAGUAUCUUGAUUUAUGGGUUAUUAGAUGAC